rnacentral:rRNA from 1 species
AUUGAACGCUGGCGGCAGGCCUAACACAUGCAAGUCGAGCGAGCGGCGGACGGGUGAGUAAUGUAUGGGGACUGCCCGAUAGAGGGGGAUAACUACUGGAAACGGUGGCUAAUACCGCAUACUAUCGGAUAACCCAUAUGGGAUUAGCUAGUAGGUGGGGUAAAGGCUCACCUAGGCGACGAUCUCUAGCUGGUCUGAGAGGAUGAUCAGCCAAAGUGAGACUUGGACAGUGCCAAGAUUCCUACGGUGGCGUCAGUGUGUAUGAUUGCACGAUGGGCGCAAGCCUGGUACAGGCCUGCCGGCUGUAUGAAGAAGUCCGUAGGGAUGUAAAGUACGAUCAGCAGAGAGGCGUUGGCCGCGGAAGAAGCCCCGGCUAACUCCGUGCCAGCCGCCGCGGAAGGUC